rnacentral:tRNA from 1 species
GGAGAGAUGCUGGAGCCCGGUUGAACAGGACAGUCUCGAAAACUGUUGUGGCGUUAUCGUCACCGUGGGUUCGAAUCCCACUCUCUCCG